AGAGUUUGAUCAUGGCUCAGAUUGAACGCUGGCGGCAUGCCUUACACAUGCAAGUCGAACGCGAAAGGGGGCAACCCCGAGUAGAGUGGCGAACGGGUGAGCAAUACAUCGGAACGUGUCCUGUAGCGGGGGACAACACAUCGAAAGAUGUGCUAAUACCGCAUACGAUCUACGGAUGAAAGUGGGGGACCGCAAGGCCCCACACUAUAGGAGCGGCCGAUGCCGGAUUAGCUUGUUGGCGGGGUAAAAGCCCACCAAGGCGACGAUCCGUAGCUGGUUUGAGAGAACGACCAGCCACACUGGGACUGAGACACGGCCCAGACUCCUACGGGAGGCAGCAGUGGGGAAUUUUGGACAAUGGGCGCAAGCCUGAUCCAGCCAUGCCGCGUGAGUGAAGAAGGCCUUCGGGUUGUAAAGCUCUUUCGGCCGGGACGAAAUGGCGCGGGGUAAUAUCCCGCGUCGAUGACGGUACCGGAAGAAGAAGGACCGGCUAACUACGUGCCAGCAGCCGCGGUAAUACGUAGGGUCCAAGCGUUAAUCGGAAUUACUGGGCGUAAAGCGUGUGCAGGCGGUUUCGAAAGUCCGAUGUGAAAUCCCCGGGCUUAACCUGGGAACUGCGUUGGAAACUACGAGGCUAGAGUGCGGCAGAGGGGGGUGGAAUUCCAGGUGUAGCAGUGAAAUGCGUAGAGAUCUGGAGGAACACCGAUGGCGAAGGCAGCCCCCUGGGUUAGCACUGACGCUCAUACACGAAAGCGUGGGGAGCAAACAGGAUUAGAUACCCUAGUAGUCC
rnacentral:rRNA from 1 species